ACGCUCGACACCUACGGCAGCAGUGGGGAAUAUUGCACAAUGGGGGAAACCCUGAUGCAGCGACGCCGCGUGGAGGAAGAAGGUCUUCGGAUUGUAAACUCCUGUUGUUGGGGAAAAAGAGGAUGGUACCCAACAAGGAAGUGACGGCUAACUACGUGCCAGCAGCCGCGGUAAUCUGAGCGGGCUGGCAAGGC
rnacentral:rRNA from 1 species